rnacentral:rRNA from 1 species
UACGUAGGUGGCAAGCGUUGUCCGGAUUUACUGGGCGUAAAGAGCGCGCAGGCGGUCGGAUUAGUCGCAUGUGAAAGCCCCCGGCUCAACUGGGGAGGGUCACGCGAUACUGUUCGACUCGAAGGCAGGAGAGGGAAGUGGAAUUCCCGGUGUAGUGGUGAAAUGCGUAGAUAUCGGGAGGAACACCAGUGGCGAAGGCGACUUCCUGGCCUGUUCUUGACGCUGAGGCGCGAAAGCUAGGGUAGCAAACGGG